rnacentral:rRNA from 1 species
UGGGCAGUGGAGACAUUGUCCUUCAGUUAGGCUGGCCCCAGAACAGGUGCUGCAUGGCUGUCGUCAGCUCGUGUCGUGAGAUGUUGGGUUAAGUCCCGCAACGAGCGCAACCCUCGCCCUUAGUUGCCAGCAUUUAGUUGGGCACUCUAAGGGGACUGCCGGUGAUAAGCCGAGAGGAAGGUGGGGAUGACGUCAAGUCCUCAUGGCCCUUACGGGCUGGGCUACACACGUGCUACAAUGGUGGUGACAGUGGGCAGCGAGACAGCGAUGUCGAGCUAAUCUCCAAAAGCCAUCUCAGUUCGGAUUGCACUCUGCAACUCGAGUGCAUGAAGUUGGAAUCGCUAGUAAUCGCAGAUCAGCAUGC